rnacentral:rRNA from 1 species
UAUGAGAGUUUGAUCCUGGCUCAGGACGAACGCUGGCGGCGUGCCUAAUACAUGCAAGUCGAACGCUUUUUCUUUCACCGGAGCUUGCUCCACCGAAAGAAAAAGAGUGGCGAACGGGUGAGUAACACGUGGGUAACCUGCCCAUCAGAAGGGGAUAACACUUGGAAACAGGUGCUAAUACCGUAUAACACUAUUUUCCGCAUGGAAGA